CCUGACUGAGGUGUGAGACAAGAACUAGGAGGGGAGAGACGGGGAAUUCCUUCGCUAGUAUGACCUACCUAUGUUUAUUUGGUAUUUAAUUGGUCGGUCAGAGUAUAGGGAUAAUAUGUGAUAUGUCAAUUAACCCUUAUUUUGAAAGUAUAUUCUAGAAUGAUAUCUAAAAUACAGGAGAUGAGAAAUGGGAAAAUCAUAAUAGAGAAGAAACAACCGGG
rnacentral:lncRNA from 1 species